CGACAAGAGAGAGCCCAGAGCUUACGUUUGAGAACUAUACGUUCUUCAUCCAUUAGUUAUAGUCAAGAGUCUGGAGCAGCAGCUGAUGAUAUAAAGCCAUGUCCACGAUGUGCUGCUUAUAUAAUAAAGAUGAAUGAUGGGAGCUGCAAUCACAUGACAUGUGCUGUUUGUGGUUGUGAGUUUUGUUGGUUGUGUAUGAAAGAAAUCUCAGAUUUGCAUUAUCUAAGUCCAUCAGGAUGUACUUUUUGGGGGAAGAAACCCUGGAGCCGAAAGAAGAAAAUAUUGUGGCAACUGGGAACACUGGUUGGUGCUCCUGUCGGAAUCGCUUUAAUAGCUGGCAUUGCUAUUCCUGCAAUGAUUAUUGGCAUUCCUGUGUAUGUGGGCCGCAAGGUAAAAUGCAUACUUCUUGUUAGUCCAUUAUCUUAUUCUAAAUCUUUAGGUGUAUUCUUUUAGUAUUGAUGAUUUUUGGGUUUUUUUUUUUUUUUUUUUUAGACAAAGGGUAUCUUUAGUUUCUUCAGUAUAAAACAGUUACUCUUUUUUCAUAAAUUUUUAGUGUUUGGCAAGCAUAUA
rnacentral:sRNA from 1 species